rnacentral:ncRNA from 20 species
AAUUAAAUAUUUAUUUUUGGUUUUAGUAUAUACUGAAUUAAAAGGGAAACAGGUUAAAGUCCUGUACGGUCCCGCCACUGUAAGGAGGAUGAAAGUAAAUUUCCACUAGGAUAAAAUUCUGGGAAGGAUUACAAGUAAAGCGAUUCUGAGUCAGGAGACCUGCCAUAAAAUAAUUAAUCAUA